CCCAAUAUGUAUUUGGACCUGAUACCUUUGAUAUUUAGUAUCGGAUGACGUGGCAGAACACGAUUGGUUUGUGGGUUACGCAGAAAAAAAAAAAAAAAAAUCUUUCUCUCGAUUCUUCUUCUCUCCUCUAACGGCGAAUCGCCGAUUUCUUCUUCUUCUCCUCCGUUCUCAUCGCCGGCGAUUCUCCCGAUCCCUUAUCUACCGUUGUAUCGACCUACUUCAGCUACGGAUUGCUCUUUGCUUUUGGCCAGCUCCGUGAUUUCUUCCGCCGCUUCAUUGAUUGGUGGCUCACUAGCAAUCUCCAGGGAUACGCGCCUAUCUGUUUGGGGCAUGAGGAUUUUUAUAUUAGGCGAUUGUAGCAUCGGAUUCAGUAUUGUUUUGAACGGCCUAUAUCGAGUGCACCUGAUGCUUGGUUUGAUGUGGUCGAGCGUUACUCUAAUGCUAACAACAAGACGCUUAAAUUGAAGUUUUGAAGUUAAAUGAAGAAGUUUCACGGUUGGAGCAGAUGCCUCAUCCGGAUGUGAAGCCAAUGGCAUAUGCAAACAAUUUUCAUGUUGUUCCAGGAAAGGGAGCCCAUGAUAAUUAAAGGUACAGUAUCCGGAUUUGAUCGGUUUUUUCUUCUUGAUAAAGAUGUUCCCUCUUCCUUUAAGCUUAUCCAGCAACUUUUGUCCCUUUUUUCUUAUGUUGUAAGAGGGGGUAAUGGAUCAUUCUUAUUUUAGGUGAAAAAUUUGUGAUUACUCGACAAAAGAGUGUCCAAAUGAGCCCCAAAACUCUCUGUACUUAGAUUUCUUGAAUCAAAAAUCAAAAGGUGGUUCUUUAAAGCUUA